rnacentral:rRNA from 1 species
AUCCAGACUCCUACGGGAGGCAGCAGUGGGGAAUAUUGCACAAUGGGGGGAACCCUGAUGCAGCGACGCCGCGUGGGCGAGGAAGUAUUUCGGUAUGUAAAGCCCUCUCGGCAGGGAAGAAGAAAUGACGGUACCUGAAUAAGAAGCACCGGCUAAAUACGUGCCAGCAGCCGCGGUAAUACGGAGGAUGCGAGCGUUAUCCGGAUUUAUUGGGUUUAAAGGGUGCGUAGGCGGACUGUUAAGUCAGCGGUAAAGGCCGGGGGCUCACCCCCGGCGAGCCGUUGAAACUGGCUGUCUUGAGAUGUCGAGAGGUAUGCGGAAUGCGCAGUGUAGCGGUGAAAUGCUUAGAUAUUGCGCAGAACUCCGAUUGCGAAGGCAGCAUACCGGCGGCGAUCUGACGCUGAGGCACGAAAGCGUGGGUAUCGAACAGGAUUAGAUACCCGUGUAC